GAUGAACGCUGGCGGCGUGCCUAAUACAUGCAAGUCGAGCGAACAGACGAGGAGCUUGCUCCUCUGACGUUAGCGGCGGACGGGUGAGUAACACGUGGAUAACCUACCUAUAAGACUGGGAUAACUUCGGGAAACCGGAGCUAAUACCGGAUAAUAUAUUGAACCGCAUGGUUCAAUAGUGAAAGACGGUUUUGCUGUCACUUAUAGAUGGAUCCGCGCCGCAUUAGCUAGUUGGUAAGGUAACGGCUUACCAAGGCAACGAUGCGUAGCCGACCUGAGAGGGUGAUCGGCCACACUGGAACUGAGACACGGUCCAGACUCCUACGGGAGGCAGAAGUAGGGAAUCUUCCGCAAGGGGCGAAAGCCUGACGGAGCAACGCCGCGUGAGUGAUGAAGGUCUUCGGAUCGUAAAACGCUGUUAUUAGGGAAGAACAAAUGUGUAAGUAACUAUGCACGUCUUGACGGUACCUAAGCAGAAAGCCACGGCUAACUACGU
rnacentral:rRNA from 1 species